AAAGACAGAUUAGGUUAGAUUUGGUUAAUAGGUACAUUCCCAGACUGACAACCUGAAAACUACUUGGGGCAAAAUGGAAAGGUGAACUGCUAUUCCAGAUAAAUUGCAUAUUGCUUCUGGCAUUUAUCCUAAUGAUAAAAAAGUAACUCCUAGAUAACCAGGAACGUACAAAGUGCAAGGGACCACAUUCAUGCCAAAUAACCUGGCUUGAGCAAACAUCCUUAUUGUCCAAACUGGUGAAACAAAUGCAAAGGAAACCAGUUCUUUUUAUUUGAGCUAUGCAGAACUCUGGGGACCUGUUGUUCUAUAGAUGACCUAAGUUAUAUCACAGUAAUCCCACUAAAAGAAAAACACUAGUGUCAAAAAUACACUUAAAGCUGGGCACGGUGGCACAUACCUAUAAUCCCAGC